rnacentral:rRNA from 1 species
GACGAACGCUGGCGGCGUGCUUAACACAUGCAAGUCGAACGGAAAGGCCCUGCUUUUGUGGGGUGCUCGAGUGGCGAACGGGUGAGUAACACGUGAGUAACCUGCCCUUGACUUUGGGAUAACUUCAGGAAACUGCGGCUAAUACCGGAUAGGAGCUCCUGCUGCACGGUGGGGGAUGGAAAGUUUCGGCGGUUGGGGAUGGACUCGCGGCUUAUCAGCUUGUUGGUGGGGUAGUGGCGUACGAAGGCUUUGACGGGUAGCCGGCCUGAGAGGGUGACCGGCCACAUUGGGCCUGAGAUACGGCCCAGACGCCUACGGGAGGCAGCAGGGGGGAAUAUGGCACAGUGGGCGGAAGCCUGAUGCAGCAACGCCGCGUGCGGGAUGACGGCCUUCGGGGUGUAAACCGCUGUCGCCUGUGACGAAGCGGGAGUGACGGUAAUGGGUAAAGAAGCACCGGCUAACUACGUG